GGUUAAGCGACUAAGCGUACACGGUGGAUGCCCUGGCAGUCAGAGGCGAUGAAGGACGUGCUAAUCUGCGAUAAGCGCCGGUAAGGUGAUAUGAACCGUUAUAACCGGCGAUUUCCGAAUGGGGAAACCCAGUGUGAUUCGUCACACUAUCAUUAACUGAAUCCAUAGGUUAAUGAGGCGAACCGGGGGAACUGAAACAUCUAAGUACCCCGAGGAAAAGAAAUCAACCGAGAUUCCCCCAGUAGCGGCGAGCGAACGGGGAGGAGCCCAGAGCCUGAAUCAGCAUGUGUGUUAGUGGAAGCGUCUGGAAAGGCGCGCGAUACAGGGUGACAGCCCCGUACACAAAAGCGCAUGUGCUGUGAGCUCGAUGAGUAGGGCGGGACACGUGGUAUCCUGUCUGAAUAUGGGGGGACCAUCCUCCAAGGCUAAAUACUCCUGACUGACCGAUAGUGAACCAGUACCGUGAGGGAAAGGCGAAAAGAACCCCGGCGAGGGGAGUGAAAAAGAACCUGAAACCGUGUACGUACAAGCAGUGGGAGCACCCUUCGGGGUGUGACUGCGUACCUUUUGUAUAAUGGGUCAGCGACUUAUAUUCUGUAGCAAGGUUAACCGUAUAGGGGAGCCGCAGGGAAACCGAGUCUUAACCGGGCGUUAAGUUGCAGGGUAUAGACCCGAAACCCGGUGAUCUAGCCAUGGGCAGGUUGAAGGUUGGGUAACACUAACUGGAGGAAUCGAACCGACUAAUGUUGAAAAAUUAGCGGAUGACCUGUGGCUGGGGGUGAAAGGCCAAUCAAACCGGGAGAUAGCUGGUUCUCCCCGAAAGCUAUUUAGGUAGCGCCUCGUGAAUUCAUCUCCGGGGGUAGAGCACUGUUUCGGCUAGGGGGCCAUCCCGGCUUACCAACCCGAUGCAAACUGCGAAUACCGGAGAAUGUUAUCACGGGAGACACACGGCGGGUGCUAACGUCCGUCGUGAAGAGGGAAACAACCCAGACCGCCAGCUAAGGUCCCAAAGUCAUGGUUAAGUGGGAAACGAUGUGGGAAGGCCCAGACAGCCAGGAUGUUGGCUUAGAAGCAGCCAUCAUUUAAAGAAAGCGUAAUAGCUCACUGGUCGAGUCGGCCUGCGCGGAAGAUGUAACGGGGCUAAACCAUGCACCGAAGCUGCGGCAGCGACACUGUGUGUUGUUGGGUAGGGGAGCGUUCUGUAAGCCUGUGAAGGUGUGUCGUGAGGCAUGCUGGAGGUAUCAGAAGUGCGAAUGCUGACAUAAGUAACGAUAAAGCGGGUGAAAAGCCCGCUCGCCGGAAGACCAAGGGUUCCUGUCCAACGUUAAUCGGGGCAGGGUGAGUCGACCCCUAAGGCGAGGCCGAAAGGCGUAGUCGAUGGGAAACGGGUUAAUAUUCCCGUACUUGGUGUUACUGCGAAGGGGGGACGGAGAAGGCUAUGUUGGCCGGGCGACGGUUGUCCCGGUUUAAGCGUGUAGGUGUGUGUUCCAGGUAAAUCCGGUUCACUUUAACACUGAGGCGUGAUGACGAGGCACUACGGUGCUGAAGCAACAAAUGCCCUGCUUCCAGGAAAAGCCUCUAAGCAUCAGGUAACACGAAAUCGUACCCCAAACCGACACAGGUGGUCAGGUAGAGAAUACCAAGGCGCUUGAGAGAACUCGGGUGAAGGAACUAGGCAAAAUGGUGCCGUAACUUCGGGAGAAGGCACGCUGACACGUAGGUGAAGUGAUUUACUCAUGGAGCUGAAGUCAGUCGAAGAUACCAGCUGGCUGCAACUGUUUAUUAAAAACACAGCACUGUGCAAACACGAAAGUGGACGUAUACGGUGUGACGCCUGCCCGGUGCCGGAAGGUUAAUUGAUGGGGUCAGCGCAAGCGAAGCUCCUGAUCGAAGCCCCGGUAAACGGCGGCCGUAACUAUAACGGUCCUAAGGUAGCGAAAUUCCUUGUCGGGUAAGUUCCGACCUGCACGAAUGGCGUAAUGAUGGCCAGGCUGUCUCCACCCGAGACUCAGUGAAAUUGAACUCGCUGUGAAGAUGCAGUGUACCCGCGGCAAGACGGAAAGACCCCGUGAACCUUUACUAUAGCUUGACACUGAACAUUGAGCCUUGAUGUGUAGGAUAGGUGGGAGGCUUUGAAGUGUGGACGCCAGUCUGCAUGGAGCCGACCUUGAAAUACCACCCUUUAAUGUUUGAUGUUCUAACGUGCACCCGUAAUCCGGGUUGCGGACAGUGUCUGGUGGGUAGUUUGACUGGGGCGGUCUCCUCCUAAAGAGUAACGGAGGAGCACGAAGGUUGGCUAAUCCUGGUCGGACAUCAGGAGGUUAGUGCAAUGGCAUAAGCCAGCUUGACUGCGAGCGUGACGGCGCGAGCAGGUGCGAAAGCAGGUCAUAGUGAUCCGGUGGUUCUGAAUGGAAGGGCCAUCGCUCAACGGAUAAAAGGUACUCCGGGGAUAACAGGCUGAUACCGCCCAAGAGUUCAUAUCGACGGCGGUGUUUGGCACCUCGAUGUCGGCUCAUCACAUCCUGGGGCUGAAGUAGGUCCCAAGGGUAUGGCUGUUCGCCAUUUAAAGUGGUACGCGAGCUGGGUUUAGAACGUCGUGAGACAGUUCGAUCCCUAUCUGCCGUGGGCGCUGGAGAACUGAGGGGGGCUGCUCCUAGUACGAGAGGACCGGAGUGGACGCAUCACUGGUGUUCGGGUUGUCAUGCCAAUGGCACUGCCCGGUAGCUAAAUGCGGAAGAGAUAAGUGCUGAAAGCAUCUAAGCACGAAACUUGCCCCGAGAUGAGUUCUCCCUUGGACUUUAAGUCCACUGAAGGAACGUUGAAGACGACGACGUUGAUAGGCCGGGUGUGUAAGCGCAGCGAUGCGUUGAGCUAACCGGUACUAAUGAACCGUGAGGCUUAACCUU
rnacentral:rRNA from 1 species